rnacentral:rRNA from 1 species
UACGGAGGAUCCAAGCGUUAUCCGGAAUCAUUGGGUUUAAAGGGUCCGUAGGCGGUUAAAUAAGUCAGUGGUGAAAUCUCAUAGCUUAACUAUGAAAUGGCCAUUGAUACUGUUUAACUUGAAUAAUUAGGAAGUAACUAGAAUAUGUAGUGUAGCGGUGAAAUGCUUAGAUAUUACAUGGAAUACCGAUUGCGAAGGCAGGUUACUACUAGUUUAUUGACGCUGAUGGACGAAAGCGUGGGUAGCGAACAGG